UUCCCGGCCGGGCUUCCUAGAGCUCGGGAGCUUUCUCGUCCAUGGAUUGAGAUCUGAUCCUCUGACCCCUGGAGUCACUCACCGUCAGGGAGCGUCGCUUCGGACUGGCGCUCGACUGGCAGCGUGUGCCUAAGUAUAAUAUAUCCACAUUGACAUAAGUCUCAAAAAAGUGAUUUUAUCAUCUGGUGGUGGUUUCUGGUUCCUGAAAGUUGGUGACAUUAUCUGGCGUGACCAAGUUGUUAAGUAUGAGAUAAGAGUGGAGGAAGAUAGACUGAUAUUGUGGAAGAAGAGCGGUCCCUGAGGGGUCCCCUCCCACGCACGGGGGACAAGCAGAUUCCAAGGACAUGAUCAGUGACCUGAGGACGGCAGGCGCGCUGCGUGGAGUGGAUGGGAGAUAAAAGGCAAUGUCA